GACGAACGCUGGCGGCGUGCUUAACACAUGCAAGUCGAACGGAAAGGCCCUGCUUUUGUGGGGUGCUCGAUUGGCGAACGGGUGAGUAACACGUGAGUAACCUGCCCUUGACUUUGGGAUAACUUCAGGAAACUGGGGCUAAUACCGGAUAGGAGCUCCUGCUGCAUGUUGGGGGUUGGUAAGUUUCGGCUGUUGGGGAUGGACUCGCGGCUUAUCAGCUUGUUUGUGGGGUAGUGGCUUACCAAGGCUUUGACGGGUAGCCGGCCUGAGAGGGUGAACGGGCACAUUGGGACUGAGAGACGGAGCAGACUGCUACGGGAGGCAGCAGUGGGGAAUAUUGCACAAUGGGCGGACGCCUGAUGCAGAAACGCCGCGUGCGGGAUGACGGCCUUCGGGUUGUAAACCGAUUUCGAAUGUGCCGAAGCGUGAGUGACGGUAAUGGGUAAAGAAGCAACGGCUAACUACGUG
rnacentral:rRNA from 1 species